AGUCUACACAAUUUUUGUUUAC
rnacentral:siRNA from 1 species